rnacentral:lncRNA from 1 species
AUUCACCAAUGUAUGCAAAGCUGUCAUUGGGACCCUUAUCUAAUAGUUAUUGGGCCCAACCCCAUCUCUAUUCUAGGGCAUUAAAUGCCAAUAGAGUGAUUAUACCUUCUCGAUGCAACUGAAUCACUGUAACCAGCCGAGAACGAUCAACGUUAGGAAAGCAUCCGCAUCUCUACAACGAUGAAAGACCUCUAGACUUAAUAUUUAGUAAGAAGAUUUAGGUUUAGAUCUCUUCUAGAUCAGUAGAUAUGAUAUUCAACUGAUCAAGUUUAGGUCAGCACAUCCAUAUGUCUGACCA